rnacentral:rRNA from 1 species
UACGUAGGGUGCAAGCGUUUGUCCGGAAUUAUUGGGCGUAAAGAGCUUGUAGGCGGUUUGUCGCGUCUGCUGUGAAAUUUCGGGGCUCAACCCCGAACUUGCAGUGGGUACGGGCAGACUAGAGUGUGGUAGGGGGAGACUGGAAUUCCUGGUGUAGCGGUGAAAUGCGCAGAUAUCAGGAGGAACACCGGUGGCGAAGGCGGGUCUCUGGGCAGUAACUGACGCUGAGGAGCGAAAGCGUGGGGGAGCGAACAGG